rnacentral:rRNA from 1 species
UCAGUUCAGCACUAAGUCACUUUGUCUUUAUGGCAAAUGUGAGAUGCAGUGUAUGGAAUGUUCAAUUUCUAGUAUGAGAAAUUAACGAUUUAAGUCCUUCUUAAAUGAGGCCAUUUACCCAUAGAGGGUGCCAGGCCCGUAUAACGUUAAUGAUUACUAGAGAAUAUUUCCAAAGAGUCGUGUUGCUUGAUAGUGCAGCACUAAGUGGGUGGUAAACUCCAUCUAAAACUAAAUAUAACCAUGAGACCGAUAGUAAACAAGUACCGUGAGGGAAAGUUGAAAAGAACUCUGAAUAGAGAGUUAAAUAGUACGUGAAACUGCUUAGAGGUUAAGCCCGAUGAACCUGAAUAUCCAUUAUGGAAAAUUCAUCAUUAUGAUUGUGAUAUGAAUAAUAUUAUAAUAAUGGUGUGCAUUUUUUCCAUAUAAGGACAUUGUAAUCUAUUAAUAUGCCAUUAUUUAUCAUAAGAUCAAUGACUUUAGUUUAUUCAAAUUAUUUUGCUUGCAAUUUAACAUAGAAUAAAUGUUGUUGAUUUGAUAAAGUGUUGAUAGAUUUAUUAUAUAUAGUGCUUGAAUAUUUAUAUUCUAUAAUAGCAUGAUAAUCCAUGAUUUUUGUGUUUAUUAUAUGCACUUAUAUGAU